UGGGUCAAAAUGACAUCUGGUAGUUAUGUUUUGCAAUACAGAGAGUUUUUGAUGGUAAAUUGUCAACAUUCUGGAAGACGACUAACUUGGUCGGAAGUUCUUAAAGGUUACACAUGCCCAAUUAAUUUCCUUCUUUGUUAUAUAUAGAAUUCGCAAUCUUUGAUCUCAAAUUUCACCAUGACCGAGCGAUAAGCCAAUAUAUAACUAUACAUGACUGGAAAGGUGGUUUCAUAAACUUACAAAAAAACUGCAUUUGAAAAAAUUCUAUACGGUGUAACUCAAAAUAAUUACCUUAGAGCAUAUGAACCGGUUUUGACAGCUACCGGCACUGCCAUUUGAAGGCAAAAACCAUGCCCUACUAUUGAGGCUGGCAACCACUAACAUACAAAGAAAUGCACAAAUCAGGCCUUUUGCCCUGUGACUUACACAUGUACCUUUAAACUGACACCUAAACUCUUCAUUUCAGAUACAUUUUUAAAAUCUUAUGCACCAGGACCUGCAUCAUAUGUACUAAGUAGCAAACCGACUGCAUGUAACCCCCCAAAUUCCACUUCCGUUUAGGAUAAUGUAACCUAUAAGGGAACCCAACCCCUUCAAAUUUGAAUUAAAGGCACUUUUUCCAUAGGUAUAAUCUGUUUUAAAAAAGAUCACAAAGUUCCAGUACCAUGACACACAGAUUUAUUCAUUAAAGUUGACGUUGAAAGCGUCACGCGUAACAGCGUUUCGCGUCAAGAAUUAAGGUAGAAAAGCCGACCUUGGUUACAUCAUACAGACAGCACUUAGACUCCAUACAAGGCAUCACUUUCGAUUCUAAUAGCAUAGCAGAUGUAACAUAUGACUUAAUAAGUGAAAACAAAUCAUCAAUGGCAUUAUAUGUGCAUCAUAGCAGGUUUUGAACAAGAUCCGAACAAACUUUUUAUAUAUUUUUUGGCACAUUUUAGGUAAAAUCCAUGUAGAAGCAGCAUUUCUGAUGUCAUUUGACCCAACAAAAGGGCUUGCUUGCAUGGGAAAACAACACACUUUACU